AUGUACAGCACUGGGCAAAGGCAGGAGGGGAAGUUGCUGCCAGCCCAAAGGCUGCCAUCUUGGUUAACAGAACGUCUGGGGGGCAGUUGGGCUGUGCUGCACCCUGAUUGCACUAGAGUGCAAAGGGCUGGAUAUCCUCUUCUGUCUUCCUCCUGGUCUUCCGAGGAGGUGGUGAUGAUCAUCUCCCACCUGCACCUCCUCCCCGUCCCAGCUAAUGCAUGGUACGACUUUGGCUUCAUGCUUGGCACCCAGACACCUUUCACAUGCAGGAUUGCCAACAGUGGGACCAAGAGGACUUUCUCUUGGACUUCUUCCACUCUGGGGAGCUGAACACGAGGCAGAAUGAAUUGCUGUCGUGAACGUCUGAAAGGAGAUAAAGCAGCAGCAAACUCUUCUCCCCUGUUGCAGAUAAACCACUAUUAACAGCCGAGGCUUUCUGGAAUGAAAAGGGUGACUCUCCAUUGAAAGCAGCGAUAAAUCCUGGCCAUCCUGCAUAAUCCAGUCCACCGUAUCGGGAAAUCUCAUGGGAGCUGGCAGCACUGAGAGCAGCAAGGUCUUUUCAUGCUACAGUUCUCCCGUGGAUGGAUAAUCUCCAUGGCCAACAACUGCAAAUGCUGGAGGUUGGAUCCUGAGUGCUAUUACCUCGGCUUUUACUCCCCUUCCUCCUCAGCAAAACCACUGCUGCCUUCUGCAGGAAGACAGGGUGUACCUGCAAACUUUGCCUGCAAAGGGGAUCACAGGGCUGCAUUCUGUAUCUGCGUGAGCAAGAAUAUCAUACAUCAUCUUCCUGCUGAUCUGGCAGUGCAAGCAGCCCUGCAAAGCAGCGAUUUAAUGCACUUCUCAGUGCUUGAGCUUUUCGUCUUGCUAUGCUUAACCUGAUAUAUUGUUAUUUGAUGCAGAACAGUAGGGGCAGGUACAAAGAGGUAGCAUGAAAAUAAAAGGUCAGCGGGUGCCAGGUGCAUGUAAAGGCUAAAUUGGUCUUUCAUCAAAUCUAAUAAAUAUGCCUUGUGAGUGGGGUGGGAAAUUCCUUUCCUGAAAUGCUGAACGGUGUCCCUUCCUCCAGAGCCUCAGCCCAGGGCUGUUGGAUGAAUCCAGGAUGGGGCUGCUCAGUGCAAGGGGACUGCAGUGACAGCCAAGGGAAGAGCCAGGCUCAGCCCCCACUGCGCAUGAGGCUGCAUUUUCCAAUGUUCCUAAAAAUAUUCCUGAGCCUCUAAGUGCAAAACUGGUGGUUUGGAUUUGGAAACCAAAAUGGAAACAGAUGAGCUGCAUCUCAUCUUGUUUUCUCACCUCCUCUCUUUUCUCUCUUCACUGGUUCCAGACUGGGGAGAGAAUGGCAAAGGAAUGACCAAAAAUGAAGAAAAACAAAACAAGGAAUCAUUUUUUCCCUUUUUUUCUUCCCCCCUCCCCCCCGUUUGAGAGGCUAUAAUGUUUUUAUAAGCAUAGAAAUCUGGGUGUGCUUCAUUUCUUUUCCUUAAAGGAUUAGGAAAUGGGAUACUUUGGCCCCUGAUUCUCCUCUGCCUCUCAUGGAGAAGUGAAAUCCAUCCAGGCUGCGUCCAGAAGCAUUUCAUGUUAUAACCUUUGCAGGCCUGGAGAAGCAGAGGCAGCAGGCAGAUCUUCCAGGUGCCUCCACUUCUGGGAUGUCCAUCCCUGGUCAGCUUAGGCUUGGUUUGCAGAGAGGCUUUGCGGCACA
rnacentral:lncRNA from 1 species